AACGAACGCUGGCGGCAUGCCUAACACAUGCAAGUCGAACGAGACCUUCGGGUCUAGUGGCGCACGGGUGCGUAACGCGUGGGAACCUGCCUUUAGGUUCGGAAUAACUCCCCGAAAGGGGUGCUAAUACCGGAUAAUGUCUUCGGACCAAAGAUUUAUCGCCUUUAGAUGGGCCCGCGUAAGAUUAGGUAGUUGGUGGGGUAAAGGCCUACCAAGCCGACGAUCUUUAGCUGGUCUGAGAGGAUGAUCAGCCACACUGGGACUGAGACACGGCCCAGACUCCUACGGGAGGCAGCAGUGGGGAAUAUUGGACAAUGGGCGAAAGCCUGAUCCAGCAAUGCCGCGUGAGUGAUGAAGGCCUUAGGGUUGUAAAGCUCUUUUACCCGGGAUGAUAAUGACAGUACCGGGAGAAUAAGCUCCGGCUAACUCCGUGCCAGCAGCCGCCGUAACAC
rnacentral:rRNA from 1 species